AUCUAAUAGAGCUGCAGUAAAUAAUACUUUUUGUGAUACUCUUGCAUUAGCAGAAAAAUAUCCCUUUGAGAAGGUUCAUUCUAAAUUUUGUAAAGCAGUAUUAGGACUGAAAAAGACAGCCACUAACAUAGGUGCUAGAUCAGAAUUAGGUAGAUUUACUUUGGACUCCUAUAUAAAAAACUCAAACACUCAUGUAUUUUUAUAGAAUAAAUUGUAAUGAUAUUAAUCCCCUGGUUAAAGAAUCUCUACAAACAAACAUAAAUUUACAUUCAGAAGGAAUUUAUUCUUGGUACUCAUUUGCAGAUAAAAUUUUUAAAGA
rnacentral:lncRNA from 1 species